GCGCACGGGUGAGUAAUGGAUAGGAAUCUGCCUCAUAGUCUGGGACAACAGUUAGAAAUGACUGCUAAUACCGGAUAUUCCCUACGGGGGAAAGCUUUAUGUGCUAUGAGAUGAGCCUAUCUCCUAUCAGCUAGUUGGUAAGGUAAAAGCUUACCAAGGCAAUGACGGGUAGCUGGUCUUAGAGGACGAUCAGCCACACUGGAACUGAGACACGGUCCAGACUCCUAUGGGAGGCAGCAGUGGGGAAUAUUGCACAAUGGAGGAAACUCUGAUGCAGCAACGCCGCGUGGAGGAUGACGCAUUUCGGUGUGUAAACUCCUUUUAUUUAGGAAGAAAUUUGACGGUACUAAAUGAAUAAGCACCGGCUAACUCCGUGCCAGCAGCCGCGGUAAUACGGAGGGUGCAAGCGUUACUCGGAAUUACUGGGCGUAAAGGACGCGUAGGCGGUUUGAUAAGUUAGAUGUGAAAUCCUAUGGCUUAACCAUAGAACUGCAUCUAAAACUGCCAAACUAGAGUGAGGGAGAGGUCAGUGGAAUUAGUGGUGUAGGGGUAAAAUCCGUAGAGAUCACUAGGAAUACUCAUAGCCGAAGGCGACUGACUGGAACUUUACUGACGCUUAGGCGUGAAAGCGUGGGGAGCAAACAGGAUU
rnacentral:rRNA from 1 species